rnacentral:rRNA from 1 species
UACGUAGGGGCCGAGCGUUGUCCGGAGUUACUGGGCGUAAAGCGCGCGCAGGCGGCUCGUCAAGCCUGACGUGAAAGCCCCCGGCUCAACCGGGGAGGGUCGUCGGGGGACUGGCGGGCUUGAGGUCGGCAGGGGUUGGGUGGAAUUCCCGGUGGUAGCGGUGAAAUGCGCAGAUAUCGGGAAGAACACCCGUGGCGAAGGCGGUUCUCUGGGACGGUACUGACGCUGAGACGCGAAAGCGUGGGGAGCGAACAGG